GGGGAAUAUUGCACAAUGGGGGAAACCCUGAUGCAGCAACGCCGCGUGAGUGAUGAAGGUUUUCGGAUCGUAAAGCUCUGUCUUCAGGGACGAUAAUGACGGUACCUGAGGAGGAAGCCACGGCUAACUACGUGCCAGCAGCCGCGGUAAUACGUAGGUGGCGAGCGUUGUCCGGAUUUACUGGGCGUAAAGGGAGCGUAGGCGGACUUUUAAGUGAGAUGUGAAAUACUCGGGCUCAACCCGGGGGCUGCAUUUCAAACUGAAAGUCUAGAGUGCAGGAGAGGAGAGUGGAAUUCCUAGUGUAGCGGUGAAAUGCGUAGAGAUUAGGAAGAACACCAGUGGCGAAGGCGGCUCUCUGGACUGUAACUGACGCUGAGGCUCGAAAGCGUGGGGAGCAAAC
rnacentral:rRNA from 1 species